rnacentral:lncRNA from 10 species
AUUGGUGGCAUGGCUAUGCCAGUCCCACCAAAAGCAGGCUUCAGGAAGACUUUGCGUUUGGACAUCGCCAGGUGUUUAUUUGAUUUUUCCUAUUUCUUGGUUUUUAAUUGGUUUCAGAUGUGAGUACCCAAUAGCGGCCCUGAAUAAAUAAAACAGAUCAUAAAAUAUGGCCAAGCAAAAUGGGCGUGAGUAAUCCCAGAGUGCAUGGAAAUGCACUUCCAGAAAGGCUCAUAAAUAAUGAGGUGGAAACAGUAGUCUAUUUUCUCUUUAAUGGAAAGCCAAUUAGGAACCCUCUCUGGACUGGCGGGAAGAAGCCAGGUUCCUUUGUUCUGUAAUGAGGAGGUGGGGGUAGAGUGGGUGAGGGGAAGCCACUAAUCUUGCCAGAAAGGGCAGAGAAAAUUCUCUGGUCAUUGGGCCUGCAGAGAGUGACAAAAUAGGAAGUUCAACACAAAGUAGGCUUCCCAUCCUGGGUCGAGCUUCCCAUCCCGGGUCGAGCUUCCCAUCCCAGGUCGAGCUUCCCAUCCCAGGUGGAGCUUCUCCAGCUCCUUCCCAGUUGGUGCAGGAAGGACUUUAAGCCCAAGCUGACUUGGGAAGAACUGGCAGAACUCUUUGGAGGCCCACAGCAGUGCUGGAAAUCAGUUCUGUUCACUCUGCAUGAUCUCUGGGCGGCCGGGGCCCAGCUGGUGACUGUAAGUGGGGGUCAUGGUGGCCUCCCCUCCGAAGCAUUAGAGACAUCUAUAGUGGUUAAGAGCACAGGCUUUGGAGUCAGGGAGACCUGAGUGAAAUUCUUGACUCUAUCCCUUAAUAAUUGUGUGGUCUUGAUCAAGUUUCUUAAUUGUUCUAAGCCUGUUUCUGCAUUUGUAAAACAGGGCUACUGAACUUGGGCUAAUGGACUUAGUUCCCACCUGACAGGAAGCAAUAAACAGCAGUGAUACUGCUAGUACUUAUUAUUGUUAGAAGGCUUUGUGGCCAGCAGGCCUUUGGAAUAGCCGGUGUGUUUCCUGUGGAACCCACUCAGGAGCAUCACUACUGAGUUCAGACUCUGUCCAUGUGAACAGUGUUCCCUGGAGACCUGGCUCAGUAUCAUAUGAGGACCCAGGGAGGCAGCCAGACAUGGCUAGCUGCCUCCAGCUCUAGGUUCAUGCUGAGCAGGGUGGAGAAGAAGGGAGGCCUGGAGCUGAGGAUGUCUGCUGAGAACUUCUCGGAGGAUCUGAGGAUCUUCUGUGCUUACCAAUACAGAGUCACAGGGGAGGCAGCAGGUCCCUCAAAGCCAAGGCUCUUCCUACGUAUGCUUCUAAAACAAAAUCAGUGGCAGUCUGAUGGAGAGAGGAGUCCACGGAGUGUAGCAGCUUUGCUGUGUAGAAGCUUGGGCCAGAGCUUUUGGUAAAGGGCCACAGCUGGAGAAUCUGUUGCUUUUGUUCCUUAUGAUGAGUUUUUGGCAAGUUUUGUUUUUAUUUUUAAAGAAAUUUCACUUUUCCUCCAUUGAAAUGGAUAAAACACUGCUCACCCAUCUGUGUGACUCAAGGAAAUGCUUGAAAAGCAGAGAGGUCUUGAAGAACAACACGAGGUCUCAGGAGACUUGACCAUCGAUGUUUGCCACUGGCCACCUGUGGAAUGUGGGUACAGUCCAUUACCUUUUGAAGGUCACUUGUUCAGCAGGGCAAGGAAGAAAGGGUGAAAUAUU